CAGUGUACAGCGGUCAGUCGACCCAGCCAGACGUUAAUCGAUUGUUUUGACCGUUAAAUAAUACGUGCGUUACACCGAAAACAUCUGCAAGUGGAAGCUCGCUGCCGAUUACUGAUACCUACGAUACGCCAAGAUGAGGAUCAACGUCCUGACAACUUUUCUUUUCACUGGGAUUUUGUGCCUGACCUGCGGACAAAGAAAUGAUUCAGCGGCGAGUAUCGUAUAUAGAAAUGCACUACAGGUCGUGAGAGAUGUG